GCCGAGAAGCCCCGGAGGCCUAGUGAGCACGGGGAGGGGCUAGACACUGGCUGGACAACCAUUACGGAGCUGGGGGCGGGCGGCUCGGGGACUACAUUUCCCAGGACGCCAAGCGGUCGCGCUCGGAAGUGAUGCGCCACGGGCUCAGUGCGCAGGCGCAAGCGCCGCCAAGGUCUAUAUAAGGAGGGU
ensembl:misc_RNA predicted gene, 27494